GAAUGUUGUCCAUUAUUUUUAUUGUCAUGAAAUUACAUCAACAUUUCCUCAUGUGUGAUUAAUUUGUGGUAAUCAUAUUUGGCAAUUUGAUCAGAGCGUGUUCCGAGACUCGUUCUUGUGUUGCACGGCGAGUCCUCAGUGAAAUCCGACGUGAGGGUGUUAUAUCUGCUUCGAAACAGUUUCAUGACAUCAGUACAUGGUCUCCGUUUGUGGACAGUGGAAGGGAAGCACAUACACACACGACGUCAUAGAUUCAGUGUCUUUGUGGAUUGUGGCGGGAGUUGCACGCGCGGGAGGUUGGUGAUAGUUGCAGGAAGAAGGAAGGCUUUUAUCAGCUGAUGGAAAUAAAGGCUUUUGGACAUCUGGCAACACACAUCCUUUCAAGGAGGCACCUGUAGCAAGUGCAAGACAGAGAGCAAGGUGAUCUUCCUGCAUUCACCAUCUUCCUGCAUUCACCAUAUAAUUGUUCUUUUUUUAAAGUGUAGGUAGUGCACUUGGUUUUAUCCAUGGAAUUUUAAAAUGUCAUCAUAUUUCAUGAUUUGACUUGUGGUAAUCUUUUGUUGGCAUUGUCAUUCCAAUUCAUAUACACAUUUGUGUAACUAGAAGGAACAAUAUCUUAUAAAAUUUAGGACAGAUGCACAUAGGAGACCUUGCAUUAAGAAGUUUUGGUUAAAGUUCUUAGGUUAGCCUUUGUUUAUCACCAUCAUCUAGUUCAGCCAGUCUGUGUUGUGUUGCCAGUCUACACAGCUACUGCAGUUUGUCUCAAGUUCUUUGACCUCAGUUAUAUGUUCUUUUGCCUGAGCUCUGAACAACUACAUUACUCUUUAGUUAUAGUUUUAAAAAGCAGGGUUUUUAACUUUAAUGAAUUGGCCUUGGCCAGCAGAUGACUGCUUACCAAACCACAAUUCAGUGUGUAACUUGUCUAAAUUCCUUUGCUCUUUAAGCUUUCCCUUGUCCUUUGUGGAUUCCCAGUGGCACUUUACUUUCUACUUCAUAAAGAUUUAUAUGCUUUAUCUUUUCUUUGCUCAUGGCUAGAUCCAUGCAAUUUGUCUUUCAUUUGCUUUACUAAUGAUGACAAUCCAAAUAUUGCAUAUCACUUCCUUAUGCAUUGAGCCAUCUCUCACCUCACCAUGUUCUUUUUCAGUAUGCUGUUGUCUUUCACUUUGUCUUUUAUAAGCCAAGUUACACAUCCUUAAAGCAUUAUAUUUUCCAUAGAUAGAAGUGUACUGUUUACCUACAUGUACACACACUCAAAAAAAGUAUCAUUCCACGUACACACACUCAAAACAAGCAUCAUUCCACGUUAAGUGUGAAACAAAUUGACACCAAAGACAGAUCCAUUGAUAACAGGCUACUCAUGUUUGUAUCCCUGCAUGUGUUCAUUGUAGCUGUACCUGCCUAAAUCAAGUGAGCAGCACUUGUAAAUUAAGCAAUAUAUAGUCAACCAGAUAGAUACAUAGAUAGACAUGAUAUUCCCUUUAUUGGCUACUUCUCCUGCGAGUGUUUCUGCCAGGUCCUAUUUAGCACUAUACAGUGACAUGCUUGCUAACCCUGUCAAGACUACCAGGUUGUUCAGUGUGAAGCAUUGGACCCCACCAUUGAGUGUGUGUACAUAAAUAGUACUCGUUGCUAUGAUAGCGCCACCAAUACAUACUAAAAAAUCA